CAUAUAGGGCGGACUAAACAUGCAAGUCGAGCGGCAGCGACAACAUUGAACCUUCGGGGGAUUUGUUGGGCGGCGAGCGGCGGACGGGUGAGUAAUGCCUGGGAAAUUGCCCUGAUGUGGGGGAUAACCAUUGGAAACGAUGGCUAAUACCGCAUGAUAGCUUCGGCUCAAAGAGGGGGACCUUCGGGCCUCUCGCGUCAGGAUAUGCCCAGGUGGGAUUAGCUAGUUGGUGAGGUAAGGGCUCACCAAGGCGACGAUCCCUAGCUGGUCUGAGAGGAUGAUCAGCCACACUGGAACUGAGACACGGUCCAGACUCCUACGGGAGGCAGCAGUGGGGAAUAUUGCACAAUGGGCGCAAGCCUGAUGCAGCCAUGCCGCGUGUAUGAAGAAGGCCUUCGGGUUGUAAAGUACUUUCAGCAGUGAGGAAGGGGGUAUCGUUAAUAGCGGUAUUCUUUGACGUUAGCUGCAGAAGAAGCACCGGCUAACUCCGUGCCAGCAGCCGCGGUAAUACGGAGGGUGCGAGCGUUAAUCGGAAUUACUGGGCGUAAAGCGCAUGCAGGUGGUUUGUUAAGUCAGAUGUGAAAGCCCGGGGCUCAACCUCGGAAUUGCAUUUGAAACUGGCAGGCUAGAGUACUGUAGAGGGGGGUAGAAUUUCAGGUGUAGCGGUGAAAUGCGUAGAGAUCUGAAGGAAUACCGGUGGCGAAGGCGGCCCCCUGGACAGAUACUGACACUCAGAUGCGAAAGCGUGGGGAGCAAACAGGAUUAGAUACCCUGGUAGUCCACGCCGUAAACGAUGUCUACUUGGAGGUUGUGGCCUUGAGCCGUGGCUUUCGGAGCUAACGCGUUAAGUAGACCGCCUGGGGAGUACGGUCGCAAGAUUAAAACUCAAAUGAAUUGACGGGGGCCCGCACAAGCGGUGGAGCAUGUGGUUUAAUUCGAUGCAACGCGAAGAACCUUACCUACUCUUGACAUCCAGAGAACUUAGCAGAGAUGCUUUGGUGCCUUCGGGACUCUGAGACAGGUGCUGCAUGGCUGUCGUCAGCUCGUGUUGUGAAAUGUUGGGUUUAAGUCCCGCAACGAGCGCAACCCUAAUC
rnacentral:rRNA from 2 species